CCCUGCAAAGACAGGAAGGCAGAUGUGGGCACCGCCGGGCUUGGGCUGCGGGAGAAACAAAGGACGGGCCUCCUUCACGGCAGUCCCCGGUUCCCAGGACAGGAACAGCAUGAGCACCGUCACUGCUGAGAAGGGGUUCGUCACCUCCUGUUGAACUGCAAUCUAGCUUGGAACGUGUAAUUAUGCCUUUGAAAGGAAUCACGAUGCUCUGGGGCAGAUGUGAGGCUUAUUUUUCUGUAAAGCAAGCACGGGUGACAGCACGCCGUCUGCCAUCCUUUGCCUGGACCGUGCCUGAGCUGUCCUCGCAGGUCACAGGGACACACAGCCCACAGCGGUGCUGCCUUUAGAACUUGGGACCACGUGGACAUGCCCGUCUCCGAGCCUGCAGCAGCCACAGGUUUCAGGAGGGGCUGCUGCCGGGGCCCAAAGUGCGCCAGGCAGAAGCGUCACGUGAGGAGGCCUUGGGGCCACGUUAGGGACUGUCCUUGCCCAGUGCCGAUGGGGGGACCUGCUGGGGUCUUGCACCCGCCUUGCAAACCCGGGUGCUGUUAAGGGGUCUGGAUCACUCAGAUGGCUGACCUCACAGCAGCAUGGGCUACUCCAGCAAGUCCACGCGAGACCGGUUGGUGGAAUUCUUAGCAUUAAAGUCAGUCCCGUUCUCCUCAGGACCAGCACGGUAGGUAAAGACCAGCAUGAAGAAGCUGACACAGUACAGAUUCGGGAGCCAUCCAGAAAAACCAAGUAUCUAUCUGGGACACGCUCGCUCUCUUGUCGCUCACUCACGUGAAAGGAGUCCCUGUUCACACUUGAGCCCAACAAGCCUGGGGAGCACCUACACCUGUCGCCUUCGCAGCUGGGGCCGGGAGGGGACAGGAGACGGAGCCUGUAGGGCAGAGAAGAGAGGAGAAGGGAACCGGGGUGACAAGGGAGGCCCCCGUGAGCACCGGCCUGAAGGAAGGGAGGGGACGAGCCAUGUCUGGGAAGGCGGCUCCGUGGCCUGUGGCCCACCCGGGGGUGGAGGUGAGGACUCGGGAUUUUCUGUGAAGCCACCCGGAAAGCGGCAACCUGGGGACACGAUCGGGUCACCUUCCAGAUUCUCCUGCCAGAGAACGGAUGGAAGAGGAGGGCGCAGAAGAGGAAGCACAGCAGGCGGGAGGCCACACAGCCAGGGUUCGCGGGGGGACGCCACUGCCUGGGGGAGUGGCCGCUGGAGCCCGGAGGGUUUGCUGCUGCCACGUCUGUCUCUCCUCAGAGACCACAUCCACGCGGGGCAGUACGUGCACUUGACAGAUGGCUAAUUUGGCGACUCUCCAGGGGCCCUGCCGGUGGGGGAGGGAGAGGUCUGUGGAGUGGAAGGACGGGCCCUGCUGCUGCGUAAGUAGCCCGAUGGGACCAGGUCCAGAGUCACAACACCACGGGAACCCGCCGGCCCUCCCCGCCACCUCGGCUCAGCGAAGCCGGCAGGAGCGUCCACGUGCCAACACCAAGCUCCAGACUUCAAUGCCUCUCCUGCAGGGGACCUGGCGGCCUCUUCUGUGACUCGAGGGCCAAGGUUGGAGGAUGAUACAGAAAAGCAGAAGGCAGUGCCUGCCCUGUUCCGUCCAAGUCUGGUCUCCAAGCCACCCAGCCCCAUUUCUGCACACGCCGUGGACCGUCGUGGUGAACCCCGAUUAUCCUGACGUUGCAGCUGAAGAAGGGAACGGAUCAAGAACGUCCAAGGCCAUGGGCCCAACUCUGUAGGAAGUGGGGCGGGGCCGGCUGGACCUCCCCGGGGUCUCUGCUGUGAAGGCCCAUCGGUGGCGGCGACAGACCGGACCCUGCUGCACAUCAGUUUAACAAGCACGGAUCAGAUUUCUAGGUCCCAUGGGUACAGAGGCCAACGCGACAAAGGCUCCGCUCUAAGAGACCUGGGGCAGCAGCGUUCCCUGGCUGGGGUGACCGUUGCUGCGGGAGCUUCAUCAAUACCUCCAGGGCCACUGGGCCACAGCACGGGAAGCCAGACGGAUGAGAGUACACACUACCUGACCGGUAUGAGGCUGCUUUCUCAUGGGGUAAGGAUGAGAGGGGCUAGAAGCAGUCACAGCGGUCAGAUAUAUUUGCAAAAACGUGUGCCCUUAGAUAACUGUACUCAUGUUUCCUACAAGAGUUAACAGUUAUGCUUAAAAGGAGGAAAAAAAAAGCCUGGCCCCGUGGUCACGAUGUUUUGAAAACAGGAGAUUCCCAUGUACUUCCAGGUUGUGAUCCAGCGGGGUAGAAUCUGGUGACUAACCACAGCCUGGGGUGUAGGGGAAAGUGGGCUCGCUGUCCUGCCCAUGCCCCCAGGGUGACCCUCAGGGUCUUCGGGUCCACCCCCUCACCCACAAAAUGGGGCUGAGACUUGUGUGACAGGGCUGGGCACAAAAGGGCAUGCGGGAGACUGGGCCUUUGCAGACAUCAGUGACUGUAUCGGGGGACACACUUGAGGGGCCUGGAACCUUGUCCCCCUCAACAGAAGAGCCAGUGCAGGGGCUGCUGCUCCUUCAGGGCUCAUCCAACCAGGGGCUGUGUCCCCAGGGGCAACAGGACCACAGAUUCUGGUGUCUAGAAGGCAGGCAGGUGAGCAGGGACCCCAACAAAUGCUUGCAGUUGUGGUGCCCCUGCCCAAUGUCCUGCUUCCUGUCUUCCCAUAGGAAAGCUGGUGCCACCUCUGUAUCUGGGUAGAGAACCCAUAACCCGGUCCCCCUUCCUUCAUCAGACUUCAGGGAGCAGCGGUUUUCCUGGGGCCCCGCUGGGCGCGAGGGACUCCCCUCCCCAUGCUAACCCAUGCCUGCGUGAGACCUGGGUCUCAGAUAUCACACUGAAACACGAGAGCAGUAGGGCAGGUCUAUGCACAGGACACAUCCUGUGCCUUCACCAGCCCUCUGGCAUCUGGAGAGCACUGGAGAUGCCAGGCAUGGUGAGGACGCCCAGGCCACGGCCAAAGUCCACUGUCAUGGCAAUCCCGUCUGAAGCCGGACCGGGAACUCGAGGUUUGCUGGUUCACAGGCGUCGCCCACCCUGCAGGCCCCCAUCUCUUCGAGCAACCUCAUGCCAGGUGAGCGCUUGGUUGGCUGCCUCCCCUGCUGGGAGAGACACAGUCGGGCUACCUUUCCUGUGCCGGUCCUGGGGUAGCCACCCUCCCCUCGAGGACCUCCCUUUCCUCUCACUGCGUCAGAGGAACCGCAUCCCAUGGGGCUGAUGGGCACCGUGGCUCAUGGACACCCAGAGACGUGUGUGGUCACUGUGCGGGCAGCAGGGGCCAGAUUUGGGCCUUUUGGGUUUCAAAGCCCCGCUGCCUCGUCCCACCGCACUGCUGGGGCUUCUUUGAAGCUUAGAGGCACAUUUUCCUUUUUAACGUCUGUGGAAAGUGGAGUGUUGCACGAUUUAAUAGCAUUUUGGAGGCAAUGUGGGAGGGUGACGAGAGAGGCUUUUGGAAGCCACUAGGCUGCUGACCCUGUGCCCGUCCCUGCCAGACUGCCCAGGGACUGGAGGAAAUAACGGAAUCCAAGUGCCCGGCUCAGCGUCUGACACUGAGAAAGUGCUUUAGAAAGUAAAGAUUUGUUUUUUUCCUUUUCUCAGUUUGGUGUUUUAAAGCUUUAUUUUUCAACAGCCCAUUCACGUAGUUCAAAAUUUAAAACCAGCUCACUCUCACAGUGGUAAGAUCUCUCUCAUCCCUGUUCCCACCCCUCAGGAGGUCUGUAAUCUGUGUUUUUGGGUGUCUUUUGACAUUCCCUUUAUAUACUCACAAGCAAGUGUGGAGACAUUAUUACCCCCUUGAGACAAAACUGUCAGGUUACUUGCAUUGUUGUACACUUUACUGGGCUCAGCUGAGAAAAAAUCCCAGCGAUGGGUCUACAUCCGCUAUUUCCACAGCUGUAGGGCGUUCUGUGUGGACGGACCACCGUGUACUUGUGGUCAGUCCCCUCCUGCAGGUGGGCAGGGUUCUUCCCCAUCCUGCCGCUGUGUGUCUGCCCUUCCCGCGUACAGACGACUCCAUCACCUGCAUGGAUCUGCCCAGCUAUAAAGUCGUCAAGUGUCAGAAUGUUUUCAUGCUCCAGCUGCCCCGAAGCCAGGAAGUGAUAAGCCAGCACGAGCUGUCUCCCUGGGAGUUCGGGAAGGCUGGGCGGGGCUCUGCAGCACAGCCUCCUGAGGAAGCCUCACAGAGGGCUGUGGGGUAGGUCUCUCUGGGCCCCGGCCAUCCCGUUCCCUGCAGCAGACCAUGGCACGCCAGGCUGUACUCGCAGCUGAGUUUUAACAAACCCUGGUUUUUGGGGCUGAUGGGCAGGAGGGAGGGCUCCCCAGGACUGUCAACAUUUGGACAAGCAAAGGCCGACGUCGCAUUUCCUCCCUGCUCUCUGGGGUUGCUCCAAGCAGGGCAGGUGGGGAGGGGGGCUUCGUGUGACACCAGAUCCCAUCAGAUGGCGGUGGCUGCUAGGCAGGCCUCUGAGCCUAUGGGGCUUGGCUGGUGAACAGCACCUGACCCCAGAGCUGUCCGUGAAAAGCCGUUUCCCUAGAAGCCAGCACAAACAUUUGCCUCAAUGCAGAGAAAGAAAGCAGCUUUCCAAAUGUCUGUCACGAGACACAGAAUAGGAGAAGAAAUUGAGAGCUAGUAUUUGGAUUGUUCUGUGCCUAAAGUUCCAAGAGCUGAUGUGCUGUGUUGAAAGGUUUAGAUGGCCGAACUGCUAAUGCCCAUUUCCAGGGAAUCACUGACUGCAUCAAGAGGGCAGACAAUGGAGCAAGAACAUCCCCAUGGUGUUGGCUACGUCGGCCCCCACGGCCCCAGUGUGUGUGCUGAGGAAAGGGCAAAUGAACUAUGUCUCCCUGGUAGAAGGUCACACAGCCCCUGAAAACUCCACUUCAAGGAACAUUCAUGGACGCAGGGAAAUAAAAUAUGCACCGAGAACAAAAGCAGAAAAUUGAACCAUGAGCAUGCAGACUCCAGCUCUGGGAUCAUGUUCUCGCAAAGAGGAAAGAUGGGUCAGCUGUGGUCACAGUGGCUACAGAAAACUUAAAAUUGCACAUGUGACUCAUGUGAUUUCUGUUGGACAGUGAAUUUCACUGUUAAUAAAGAGCUAUGAAAAUGAUUACCAUCUCUCAAGUCCCCCAAGGAGUCUGGAAAUUCAUGUAUCAGAUACCUUUGCUACCGACCCGUUGAACCCACUGAUCUGACCAAGCAAACCUAUGGGAAAAGGCUCUGAGAACUGCCCAGUGAGCCUCAGUGGUCGCUAAGGAAACACGGGUCACCCGUGGCCAACUGCUAUUAAAUGGUUGUUUAGUAACUUUAGUUACUUUGAAUAAAGAUGUUUAAAAAAACCC